rnacentral:rRNA from 1 species
CAAUUACCCACUCCCGGCACGGGGAGGUAGUGACGAAAAAUAACAAUNCGGGUACUCUAUUGAGGCCCCGUAAUUGGAAUGGGUACACUCUAAACCCUUUAACGAGGAUCUAUUGGAGGGCAAGUCUGGUGCCAGCAGCCGCGGUAAUUCCAGCUCCAAUAGCGUAUAUUAAAGUUGUUGCGGUUAAAAAGCUCGUAGUUGGAUCUCGGUUCCGGACUGUCGGUCCGCCGACAGGCGGUUACUGGCAGGACCGGACGUCUAGCCGGCCUCCCUCGGUGCUCUUCACCGGGUGUCUUGGGUGUCCGGCACGUUUACUUUGAAAAAAUUAGAGUGCUCAAAGCAGGCGAUCCGCCUGAAUAAUGGUGCAUGGAAUAAUGGAAUAGGACCUCGGUUCUAUUUUGUUGGUUUUCGGAACACGAGGAAAUGAUUAAGAGGGACAGACGGGGGCAUUCGUAUUGCGACGCUAGAGGUGAAAUUCUUGGACCGUCGCAAGACGAACUACUGCGAAAGCAUUUGCCAAGAAUGUUUUCAUUAAUCAAGAACGAAAGUUAGAGGUUCGAAGGCGAUCAGAUACCGCCCUAGUUCUAACCAUAAACGAUGCCAACCAGCGAUCCGCCUGAGUUCCUCAAAUGACUCGGCGGGCAGCUUCCGGGAAACCAAAGUCUCUGGGUUCCGGGGGAAGUAUGGUUGCAAAGCUGAAACUUAAAGGAAUUGACGGAAGGGCACCACCAGGAGUGGAGCCUGCGGCUUAAUUUGACUCACACNGGAAAACUUACCCGGCCCGGACNCCGGAAGGAUUGACAGAUUAAUANCUCUUUCUUUGAUUC